UGAGCCUAAUAAAGCCCAACAGCGGCCCAUAAGCAAAACCUCCUCCUUCUUCCUCCCUUUUGCAUUUGUGCUACCUGCCCUGCCCCGCGCCGCCGCCGCCGCCGCCAACCCGCCAUUACCUGCGCCAUGCCACCGCGAAAACGCCCGCCGUCGCCGCCGGAGGAGCCCUCCCUUGCCUCGAAGCCUCGACCUGACGCGCAGCCGUCCAAACCCGACCCCGAUUCCGAGCAGUCGACCAUCAACCCGAGGAUCCUCGCCCAACUCCCCAACCAGGAGCGCCUGGUGUACAAGCUCAUCUUCGAGGCGGGCAACAAGGGCAUGUGGAUGCUGGACAUCCGCAAGAAGCUGCUGAUGGCCCCCAACGUCGCCACCAAGGUCGUGCGCACCCUCGUGGCAAGCGGGCUCCUCAAAGAGGUCAGCGACGUGCGCCACCGCAGCAGGAAGAUCUUCAUGGCCACCGACUUCCAGCCCUCCGCCGAGAUCACCGGGGGCACCUGGUACCACGACGGCCGCCUGGACACCGACGCCGUAACCACCGCGCGCCGCUGCUGCCAGGCGCAGGUCCAGAGGCUCGGCGCCGCGACCGCGCAGAUGAUCCACCAAGGCAUUCUCAAGGAAGACCCCAGGGCCGGGUACACUAUCGACAAGGUCAGGGAUAUCAUCAAGACCAUGGUGCUCGACAAGGUGCUCGAGGAGGUCAAGAGCACCGGCGCGGGGGAUUUUAGCGCCGUCAGGGCCGGCACAAUGUGCUACCGGCUGGUCACUGGGGCUCCGCAGGGAGGGAUGAUGGAGGGAAUCCCUUGUGGGGUUUGCCCCAGGAUUCAUGAGUGCUCGCCGGAGGGGAUCAUCUCACCCAGCACCUGCGUUUACUACAAGAAGUGGCUGCAGAUGGACUUCUAGGCGGUGACGGUGAGCCCUCUUCUGUCCGUCACGAUGGGGUGUUGGAGUCCAUUGGAGAAUUUAGUUUCAUAUUGACCAGUCGGGACCUCUGAAUUCUGAAAGGAUAGGUUUGCAUCUCUACGCUCAUGGGACACUUUGGUCAUACGUACUGGCACUUAAUACGUCUGGAUCGAAGGGGUUGAAGAGGCUUCUAUUGUAAUAUAUUUUAGUAAUAUAUUUUAUUUAUAAUGUAUUGUAUGAUUUUAUGUUAAUUUUUUUACUUGCAAUAUAGAAACUAGAAAUAAGAACUAAUUAUUGCACUUUUA